rnacentral:rRNA from 1 species
UACGGAGGGGGCUAGCGUUGCUCGGAAUCACUGGGCGUAAAGCGCACGUAGGCGGACUCUUAAGUCGGUGGUGAAAUCCUGGAGCUCAACUCCAGAACUGCCUCCGAUACUGGGGGUCUUGGAGUCCGGGAGAGGUGAGUGGAACUGCGAGUGUAGAGGUGAAAUUCGUAGAUAUUCGCAAGAACACCAGUGGCGAAGGCGGCUCACUGGCCCGGUACUGACGCUGAGGUGCGAAAGCGUGGGGAGCAAACAGG